AUUGAACGCUGGCGGAAGGCCUAACACAUGCAAGUCGAGCGAGCGGCGGACGGGUGAGUAAUGUAUGGGGACUGCCUGAUGGAGGGGGAUAACUACUGGAAACGGUGGCUAAUACAGCAUACUAUCGGAUAACCCAUAUGGGAUUAGCUAGUAGGUGGGGUAAAGGCUCACCUAGGCGACGAUCCCUAGCUGGUCUGAGCGGAUGAUCAGCCAGACUGGGACUGAGACACGGCCCAGCCUCCUACGGCGGCAGCAGUGGAGAAUAUUGCACGAUGGGCGCAAGCCUGAUGCAGCCAUGCCGCAUGUAUGAAGAAGGCCUUAGGGUUGUAAAGUACUUUCAGAGGGGAGGCGUUACCCGCAGAAGAAGCACCGGCUAACUCCGUGCCAGCGGCCGCGGUAAUUC
rnacentral:rRNA from 1 species